UGCUGAUUCUAGUUUGUGAUAUGUAAUAACUUGUUCAGACGGGCAAAGAACCCCCAAAACAAGACAAGGGACUUAGGGAGGGAAAUUUUUCUACUUCCUAAACAUGUUAUUGAGAAAUAACAAAACAACAUUAAAAAGAGAGAGAGAGAGAGAGAUUUCAGGCUAAGCAGCACUGCCAAACACUUGUUUUUAAAGGAAGAGGCAGUAAAUAUUGUGGGUGUAGCAGUUUCUGUCUCAACUAUUCAGCUCUGCUGUCACAAUGUGAAAGAAACCACAGCAGAGAAGGUCACCACUACUCCCUCUUCAUCACAGAAUCAGCAGUUCUUUAUGUGGCCAUCACAAGCAGCUAGGACAUGAAUUUGGUGGAUGCUGCAAGCAAAUAGGGUGGAAAGAAAGAAGCAAAAGGCAAGCUCGCCGUCCCUCACAUUUAUGCAUCUGGAGACUAUCUGCCCUCACCCGCUUUCAAGUCCUCUCCCUGAAUCCACUCUGAAUCCACGCUGAAUCCUCUCCCUGAAUCCAAUCCGCAGCAGGGGGGAAUCUCGUGCCCAGCAGAUAGAGGAAAAUCCUCAGGCUUGGUUCACUGAUGGAAUGGCUUGCAAAACAGCUCACCAGAGUCCUAAAAGAGCUGCCCCCAGUACUUAUACAAAGCAUUGGAUCUGAGUCGUAUAGGGGUACAUUGAAGUGGAUGCUAUGAUUCACCUCUCACAUGCCUGUUCAGGAAUGGUGGACUUAUUCCCUUAACUGCUGGGAUGGUGUCAGAAGAGAGCCCUCAACUGUCAACCUUCUUCAGGAUUUGCUUCUCUCAAGGUCAUACUCCUACCCCAGGACAUCUUCCACCCAAUGACUGGCUGAUGCAGGAUGAAGAGUGCCCAGUUCCCUGGCACCAAUUUGGGAUAAUUCUAGUGGGCUUCCAAGCUAUCUGUAGGAAUGGCUGGUGUCUUCAUUGAGACUAUAUAAAAACCAAA